GGAUGUGAGGGCGAUCUGGCUGCGACAUCUGUCACCCCAUUGAUCGCCAGGGUUGAUUCGGCUGAUCUGGCUGGCUAGGCGGGUGUCCCCUUCCUCCCUCACCGCUCCAUGUGCGUCCCUCCCGAAGCUGCGCGCUCGGUCGAAGAGGACGACCAUCCCCGAUAGAGGAGGACCGUUCUUCGGUCAAGGGUAUACGAGUAGCUGCGCUCCCCUGCUAGAACCUCCAAACAAGCUCUCAAAGAAUAAGGAAGAUCUGUGUGUAGGGACAAGGUCUCUAAAAACAGGAAAAGUACAAAAAAAAAAAAGCCAGAAAAAUAUGUAUAUUU
rnacentral:snRNA from 1 species